rnacentral:rRNA from 1 species
GCAUAUCAUAAGCGGAGGAAAAGAAACUAACAAGGGAUUCCCCUAGUAACUGCGAGUGAAGCGGGAAAAGCUCAAAUUUAAAAUCUGGCGGUCUUCGAUCGUCCGAGUUGUAGUCUGGAGAAGCGUCUUCCGCGCUGGACCGUGUACAAGUCUCUUGGAACAGAGCGUCGUAGAGGGUGAGAAUCCCGUCUUUGACACGGACUACCAGUGCUUUGUGAUGCGCUCUCAAAGAGUCGAGUUGUUUGGGAAUGCAGCUCAAAAUGGGUGGUAAAUUCCAUCUAAAGCUAAAUAUUGGCGAGAGACCGAUAGCGAACAAGUACCGUGAGGGAAAGAUGAAAAGCACUUUGGAAAGAGAGUUAAACAGUACGUGAAAUUGCUGAAAGGGAAACGAUUGAAGUCAGUCGCGUCGUCUAGAACUCAACCUUGCCUCGGCUCGGUGCAUUUUCUAGUUGACGGGCCAGCAUCAGUUUUGACCGUUGGAAAAAGGUCCUUGGAAUGUGGCACCUUCGGGUGUGUUAUAGCCUCGGGUCGUAUACGACGGUUGGGACUGAGGACCGCAGCACGCCUUUAUGGCCGGGGUUCGCCCACGUACGUGCUUAGGAUGCUGGCGUAAUGGCUUUAAACGACCCGUCUUGAAACACGGACCAAGGAGUCUAACAUGCCUGCGAGUGUUUGGGUGGUAAACCCGAGCGCGUAACGAAAGUGAAAGUUGGGAUCCCUGUCGUGGGGAGCACCGACGCCCACACCAGACCUUCUGUGACGGAUGUGCGGUUGAGCAUGUAUGUUGGGACCCGAAAGAUGGUGAACUAUGCCUGAAUAGGGUGAAGCCAGAGGAAACUCUGGUGGAGGCUCGUAGCGAUUCUGACGUGCAAAUCGAUCGUCAAAUUUGGGUAUAGGGGGCGAAAGACUAAUCGAACCAUCUAGUAGCUGGUUCUGCCGA